GAACAUUUUGUGCGAAUCAAAUACAAAAAAAUAUACAAGAAAGAAAGAAUGGAAGCAGCAAAAAUAAAGUGGCGAAAUUAAAUUGAAGGCGAAAUUCUGAUAAAAUCCAAAACCAAUUCAAUGCAAGCCAAAAGUGCAACAAGAACAACACAAAUAACAACAACAAAUUCAUCAACAACAAAAGCAACAACAAUUACACCAACAAGAACGAGAACAACGUCUUGAAACUGCGGUGUUUGGCGUUUAUGCAUAUUCUUCAAAAUUCCAAAUUUCAACGAAGAAGAAAGCGUGUAAAACUCAAAGAGAAACCGGCUAAAACAAAAACAAACCAAAAAAAUUAAAAGCUUAAAGGCAAAAUAAUAAUAAUUCCCCAAAAUUCGCAAUCUCGGCAAAUCGAAAGGCAACUCUAAAAAAGAACAACAACUCUACCAACUGGAACACGCUACAACUCUGGCAGCGCUCUCUGGCAAAUAUAACAAAAAAAAAAACCCAAAAA